CAGCGGACUGCUCGAGCUGC
rnacentral:sRNA from 1 species